AACGCACAUUGCGCUCUCUGGUAUUCCGGGGAGCAUGCUCGUUUCAGAAUGGUAACAACCUCACACAGAUGUUUUGGGUCUUGGCCCGAGAUGUCCUGUGUGGAUUUUGGACCUAUACUUUUGCAUUUCGGUGCAAAUGGUCUGAAAAGGAUUGUGUGCAUGUCUCACCUUCUGGUGGAUGUCUCAAGUGCAACAGAUGUUUAUUCUAUUUGUGUACCACUUGGAACGUUUCCAUCAUCAAAGGAAAGUGUGUAUGUGUAACCUGCCAUAUCAAACAGUUCUCGGAGGUGUAUGCCAUACGAGUUCUGGUUUCACUAUCUGAAAUCGAGCAAGAAAACCCGCUGAACUUAA
rnacentral:misc_RNA from 1 species